UGCUUCUAAGCAAAUUUUUGUUGGUUUUAGCAUCUUUUGGGAGAAAAUGGGUAUAAGUGUUGUCUAAACACUCCUAAUCAAUCUUUAACUCUUAUUAUUAGUCAAUACAUUGGAUUGUGAAACAUUUUGACCAUAAAAACACUAACAAGGCUAUUUACUGCUUCUAAGCAAAUUUUUGUUGGUUUUAGCCUCUUUUGGGAGAAAAUGGGUAUAAGUGUUUUCUAAACACUCCUAAUCCAUCUCUAACUCUUAUAAUUAGUCAAAUGCAUUGGAUUGUUACACAUUUUGACCAUAGAAACACUAACAAAGCUAUUGACUGCUUCGAAGCAAAUUUUGUUGGUUUUGCCUCUUUUGGGAGAAAAUGGGUAUAAGUGUUAUCUAAACGCUCGUAAUCCAUCUUUAUCUCUUAUAAUUAGUCAAAUGCAUUAGAUUAUGACAGAUUUUGACUAUAGAAACACUAACAAAGUUGUUUACUGCUUCUAAACAAUUUUUUGUUGGUUUUACCCUCUUUUAGGAGAAAAUGGGUAUAAGUGGUGUCUAAACACUUCCAAUACAUCUCUAAAUCUUAGAAUUAGUCAAAUGCAUUGGAUUGUGAAACAUUUUGACCAUAGAAACACUAACAAAGCUAUUUACUGCUUCUAAGCAAAAUUUUGUUGGUUUUAGCCUCUUUUGGGAGAAAAGAGGUAUAAGUGUUGUCUAAACACUCCCAAUACAUCUCUAAAUCUUAUAAUUAGUCAAAUGCAUUGGAUUGUGAAACAUUUUGACCAUAAAAACACUAACAAAGCUAUUUACUGCUUCUAAGCAAAUUUUUGUUGGUUUUAGCAUCUUUUGGGAGAAAAUGGGUAUAAGGGUUGUCUAAACACUCCUAAUACAUCUCUAACUCUUAUAAUUAGUCAAAUGAAUUGGAUUUUGAAACAUUUUGACCAUAGAAACACUAACAAAGCUAUUUACUGCUUCUAAGCAAAGUUUUGUUGGUUUUAGCCUUUUUUGGGAGAAAAUGAGUAUAAAUGUUGUCUAACACACCUAAUCCAUCUUUAAGUCUUAUUAUUAGUAAAAUGCAUUGGAUUGUGAUAUAUUCUAACCAUUAAAACACUAACAAAGCUAUUGACAUCUUCUAAGCAAGUUUUGUGGGUUUUAGCCUCUUUUGCGAGAAAAUAGGUAUAAGUGUUGUCUAAACACUCCUAAUCUGUCUUUAACUCUUAUUAUUAGUCAAAUGCAUAGGAUUGUGGUACAUUUUAACCAUAAAAACAUUAACAAAGCUAUUGAUUGCUUCUAAGCAAUUUUUGUGGGUUUUAGCCUCUUUUGAGAGAAAAUGGGUAUAAGUGUUGUGUUAACACUCCUAAUCCAUCUUUAACUCUUAUAAUUACUCAAAUGCAUUAGAUUAAGAAACAUUUUGACCAAAAAAACACUAACAAAGCUGUUUACAGCUUCUAAGCAAUUUUUUGUUGGUUUUAGUGUCUUUUAGGAGAAAAUGGGUAUAAGUGUUGUCUUAACACUCCUAAUCCAUCUCUAACUAUUAUAAUUAGUCAAAUGCAUUGGAUUACGAUUAAUUUUGACCAUAUAAACACUAACAAAUCUAUUGACUACUUGUAAGCAAGUUUUGUUUGUUUUAGCCUCUUUUGAGAGAAAAUGGGUAUAAGUGUAUUGGAUUAUGAUUAGUUUUGAUUGUGACACAUUUUAACAAUAGAAACACUAAGAAAGCUAUUGACAGCAUCUAAGCAAUUUUUUGUUGGUUUUAGCCUCUUUUGAGAGAAAAUGGGUAUAAGUGUUGUUUAAACACUCCUAAUCCAUCUCUAACUCUUAUAAUUAGUCAAAUGCAUUGGAUUGUUACACAUUUUGACCAUAGAAACACUAACAAAGCUAUUGACUUCUUCGAAGCAAAUUUUGUUGGUUUUGCCUCUUUAGGGAGAAAAUGGGUAUAAGUGUUAUCUAAACGCUCGUAAUCCAUAUUUAUCUUUUAUAAUUAGUCAAAUGCAUUAGAUUAUGACACAUUUUGACUAUAGAAACACUAACAAAGCUCUUUACUGCUUCUAAACAAAUUUUAGUUGGUUUUAGCCUCUUUUGGGAGAAAAUGGGUAUAAGUGUUGUCUAAACACUCGUAAUCCAUCUCUAACUCUUAUAAUUAGUCAAAUGCAUUGGAUUGUGACACAUUUUAACAAUAGAAACACUAAGAAAGCUAUUGAUAGCAUCUAAGCAAUUUUUUGUUGGUUUUAGCCUUUUUUGAGAGAAAAUGGGUAUAAGUGUUGUUUAAACACUCCUAAUCCAUCUCUAACUCUUAUAAUUAGUCAAAUGCAUUGGAUUGUUACACAUUUUGACCAUAGAAACACUAACAAAGCUAUUGACUGCUUCGAAGCAAAUUUUGUUGGUUUUGCCUCUUUUGGGAGAAAAUGGGUAUAAGUGUUAUCUAAACGCUCGUAAUCCAUCUUUAUCUUUUAUAAUUAGUCAAAUGCAUUAGAUUAUGACACAUUUUGACUAUAGAAACACUAACAAAGCUGUUUACUGCUUCUAAACAAUUUUUUGUUGGUUUUACCCUCUUUUAGGAGAAAAUGGGUAUAAGUGGUGUCUAAACACUCCGAAUACAUCUCUAACUCUUAUAAUUAGUCAAAUGCAUUGGAUUGUGAAAUAUUUUGACCAUAUUAACACUAACAAAGCUAUUUACUGCUUCUAAGCAAGUUUUUAUUGGUUUUAGCCUCUUUUGGGAGAAAAGGGGUAUAACUGUUGUCAAAAUACUCCCAAUACAUCUCUAAAUCUUAUAAUUAGUCAAAUGCAUUGGAUUGUAAAACAUUUUGACCAUAGAAACACUAACAAAGCUAUUUACUGCUUCUAAGCAAAUUUUUGUUGGUUUUAGCAUCUUUUGGGAGAAAAUAGGUAUAAGUGUUGUCUAAACACUCCUAAUCAAUCUUUAACUCUUAUUAUUAGUCAAUACAUUGGAUUGUGAAACAUUUUGACCAUAAAAACACUAACAAGGCUAUUUACUGCUUCUAAGCAAAUUUUUGUUGGUUUUAGCCUCUUUUGGGAGAAAAUGGGUAUAAGUGUUUUCUAAACACUCCUAAUCCAUCUUUAACUCUUAUUAUUAGUCAAAUUCCUUGGAUUGUGACACAUUUUAACCAUAGAAACACUAACAAAGCUAUUGACAACGUCAAAGGAAUUUUUGUUGAUUUUAGCCACUUUUGAGAGAAAAUGGGUAUAAGUGUUGUCUAAACACUCCUAAUCCAUCUUUAAAUCUUAUAAUUAGUCAAAUGCAUUAGAUUAAAAAACACUAACAAAGCUGUUUACUGCUUCUAAACAAUAUUUUGUUGGUUUUACCCUCUUUUAGGAGAAAAUGGGUAUAAGUGGUGUCUAAACACUCCCAAUACAUCACUAAAUCUUAUAAUUAGUCAAAUGCAUUGGAUUGUGAAACAUUUUGACCAUAUAAACACUAACAAAGCUAUUUACUGCUUCUAAGCAAGUUUUUGUUGGUUUUAACCUCUUUUGGGAGAAAAGGGGUAUAAGUGUUGUCUAAACACUCCCAAUACAUCUCUAAAUCUUAUAAUUAGUCAAAUGCAUUGGAUUGUGAAACAUUUUGACCAUAGAAACACUAACAAAGCUAUUUACUGCUUCUAAGCAAAUUUUUGUUGGUUUUAGCCUCUUUUGGGAGAAAAUGGGUAUAAGUGGUAUCUAAACACUUCUAAUCAAUCUUUAACUCUUAUUAUUAGUCAAUACAUUGGAUUGUGAAACAUUUUGACCAUAGAAACACUAACAAAGUUAUUUACUACUUCUAAGCAAAUUUUUGUUGGUUUUAGCCUCUUUUGGGAGAAAAUGGGUAUAAGUGUUGUCUAAACACUCCUAAUCCAUCUUUAACUCUUAUUAUUAGUCAAAUGCAUUGGAUUGUGAAACAUUUUGACAAUAGAAACACUAACAAAGCUAUUUACUGCAUCUAAGCAAAUUUCUGUUUGUUUUAGUCUCUUUUGGGAGAAAAUGGGUAUAAGUGUAGUCUAAACACUCCUAAUCCGUCUUUAACUCUUAUUAUUAGUCAAAUUCAUUGGAUUAUGACAUAUUUUAACAAUAUU
rnacentral:sRNA from 1 species